AACGAACGCUGGCGGCAGGCCUAACACAUGCAAGUCGAACGCCCUAGCAAUAGGGAGUGGCGCACGGGUGAGUAACGCGUGGGAACGUGCCUUUCAGUCUGGAAUCACUGCGGGACACUGCAGCUAAUACCGGAUAUUCUCUACGGAGGAAAGAUUUAUCGCUGAAAGAUCGGCCCGCGUUAGAUUAGGUAGUUGGUGGGGUAAUGGCCUACCAAGCCGACGAUCUAUAGCUGGUCUGAGAGGAUGAUCAGCCACACUGGAACUGAGACACGGUCCAGGCUCCUACGGGAGGCAGCAGUGGGGAAUAUUGGACAAUGGGCGCAAGCCUGAUCCAGCCAUGCCGCGUGAGUGACGAAGGCCUUAGGGUUGUAAAGCUCUUUUGUCAGGGAAGAUAAUGACGGUACCUGAAGAAUAAGACACGGCUAACUUCGUACCAGCCGCCGCAGUAA
rnacentral:rRNA from 1 species